rnacentral:rRNA from 1 species
CCUACGGGUGGCUGCAGUGGGGGAUAUUGGACAAUGGGGGGAACCCUGAUCCAGCCAUGCCGCGUGUGUGAAGAAGGCCCUCGGGUUGUAAAGCACUUUCAGUGAGGAAGAACGCCUGGUGGUUAAUACCCAUCAGGAAAGACAUCACUCACAGAAGAAGCACCGGCUAACUCCGUGCCAGCAGCCGCGGUAAUACGGAGGGUGCGAGCGUUAAUCGGAAUUACUGGGCGUAAAGCGCGCGUAGGUGGCUUGAUAAGCCGGUUGUGAAAGCCCCGGGCUCAACCUGGGAACGGCAUCCGGAACUGUCAAGCUAGAGUGCAGGAGAGGAAGGUAGAAUUCCCGGUGUAGCGGUGAAAUGCGUAGAGAUCGGGAGGAAUACCAGUGGCGAAGGUGGCCUUCUGGACUGACACUGACACUGAGGUGCGAAAGCGUGGGUAGCAAACAGGAUUAGAUACCCCUGUAGUC